rnacentral:lncRNA from 1 species
UCCAUUCGACCGAAGCAAGGAGGAGCUCGGGUCGUGCCGCGGAGCUCGAUUUCCACGUCGACGUCGCGCCGCGAAGCCAUUCGAGCAUACGGUUGCUGCCGUUACAUCGCGAGGAGGCUGGGCGAGGGGGUGUUUUCGCCGUCCUCGACGUCGCACCGGCGCUAGAUUCGCUGUCGAGGUGGGUACCUAACUUUCCUCCUUGGAUUACUUAAACGCACGGUUUUGAGCUCGCGUACUGAUUUUACUGAUUUUCAGCGUUGACCGUUAGUGUUUCGGCUCGUACUCGGCGUAGGAACGUCAGAUUUCGACAGGACUUGGUUCGUUGGAUUCAGGACUUCGAGAGGAAUCCACGAAGCCCUUAUUUGCUGGAUUUGUUGAAGGUUAGCUGGGUUAAAAUUAUGUUCUCCUAUGCUGCUGUGUUUCGGACAGAAUUUGAGUUGGAGUUCUUCGUUGCGAUGUGUGCAGGACGAUUUCGAACUUGAGCUGGACACCCUGAUUUUUCCAGUGGAUUUGGGGAUUUUUGGUGACCUCCUCGCUACCGGGGUUUAGCGAUCGAGGUGGGUUUAUCAUCGGAAUCCUACUCCUAUAGUAUUGUUGGUCGACAUGUAUCGUUAAUAUUACAAGUUGUUAUUGUUUAGCUCAAAUUCAGGAGUAGGUAUGUUUUAGACAUAUUAACUGAAUUGGGAGCAUGUUAUUAGCUGUUAUUAAUCAUACAUGCUGGACUUGGAUAAAACAUAGGAGAAAACCAGCGUUCGGGACCUGACAUAUGUUAAACUACCUGAUUUAGCCCUAGGGGCCGUUGUAUGAUUUUAUACUGUUGCAGUAUCAUUAUAUUGAGAAUUUCAGGUAGUUUAGAUUUCAGUUACACUCGUGCGGGGAUGCCGAGUGAAUUUUUAAAAUAGCGUUUAGGCUGUUCCGGACUGUUGGGUGCCGUUGGGGUUGACGGUGGACCCGUAUAGCCUGUUUGGCGUCGGAUUGUGCCGAGGGCACGUUACCUGUUGGUUGUUAGACCAAUUAGAGUUGGUUACUUGACUGUGGCUUGAGAUAGAGCCUGAUUGAGCUCGACAGAGAUACGCUGCAUACUCGGUUGGGUAGCUCCCACGAGUGCCACUCCGGAGACGGGCGCUGUGCUUUCGCGUCGGUGUCGCUCAUGCCGAUUGGACUUGCUCUCCACGGAUCAGUUAGUGUGGAGGUAGCUGGAUAGUCGCAACUGGAGGACGGGUGUGUUCACAGUCCCAGGGACGGGUAUGCUUACAGUCCCAAUUGGAUUGGGUCAGAUUUGACAUUUUCUACGGUUGGUUAGUGUAGAGCUUGAUAGCGUAGUGUUUCAUAACGGUAGAUUUUAUUUCUGCAUUUACUACUAUCUUUGCUCCCUUCCGUAGACUUAGUGGGUCGACCGAUGAGUUGAGGGCGGUACCCACUGAGGACUACUUAUUUUUACAGUAGUUCUCACGCCCAGUUGUUACUUUGUGUUUUGCAGAGCCUGCUGUUCCGGCUGCUGCGUCUUCUGAGGCUGAUCGAGGUAAGAGCGUCGCGAACUAGAGCCCUACCCGACGAGUUGCUGAGAUAGAGGAUCACCAGCUGCAGGUAGUCCUGGUUUACUUUUGAGCUUUUGUACAUACUGAUGCUAGAUCUCGCUGGAG